GAUGAAGAACGUAGCGAAAUGCGAUAAGUAAUGUGAAUUGCAGAAUUCCGUGAAUCAUCGAAUCUUUGAACGCACAUUGCGCCCGCCAGUAUUCUGGCGGGCAUGCCUGUUCGAGCGUCAUUACAACCCUCAGGCCCCCGGGCCUGGCGUUGGGGAUCGGCGGAAGCCCCCUGCGGGCACAACGCCGUCCCCCAAAUACAGUGGCGGUCCCGCCGCAGCUUCCAUUGCGUAGUAGCUAACACCUCGCAACUGGAGAGCGGCGCGGCCACGCCGUAAAACACCCAACUUCUGAAUGUUGACCUCGAAUCAGGUAGGAAUACCCGCUGAACUUAAGCAUAUCAAUAAGCGGAGGA
rnacentral:misc_RNA from 1 species